rnacentral:misc_RNA from 1 species
GAAGAAUGUUACACUAAUUGGUCUGGCAUCAUCUGCAUUAUGGCAUUGUGAAUUUGUCUCAGGAUUUGCCAAAGAGGUCUUCCCAAUGCCUUGUCCCCAGUUGCAGAAUAAUGUCAAUACAUCUUGGUGUUCACACUCUUAAGCUUCAAUGGUCAAUGUGGAAAGUAUUUUAGAGUUUGGGUUGAACUUGGAGGGUCUCUCCAAUUUCUUUUGGCAGAUGGUCCGCAACUCUGCAAUGAUCAAAUUAGAGUUGAAGAACCAUGUUACAGGUCUUGUUGAAUUGGAUUGACCUGAAGGAUCAUAUUACAGGGGUCUGCAUAGAGCAGUUUGGGAGUUGAAUAAUUCUUUGCUUUGGCAUGAUUCUAGCUGCUGUAUCAAGGAGUUCUCAGAAUGCUACUGGUAUAAGUGCCAGACUACAGAUUGAAGGCUGACUGACUUGAGCAGUUUUGACUCGCCUGAAUGAUUUACAGAUUUGCUUGGAGG